GAUGAAGAACGCAGCGAAAUGCGAUAAGUAGUGUGAAUUGCAGAAUUCAGUGAGUCAUCGAAUCUUUGAACGCACAUUGCGCCCUUUGGUAUUCCGAAGGGCAUGCCUGUUCGAGCGUCAUUAUCACCCCUCAAGCCCCUUGGCUUGGUGUUGGACGGCUGGCGAUGACCUCCGGGUCGUCGCCCCUCCCAAAGACAAUGACGGCGGCCUCGUUGGACCCCCGGUACACUGAGUUCUUCACGGGACACGUACUGGAUCAAGGGUGCGCGGAGCACGGUCUUAACCAUUUCACCCCUCGCGGGCGGAAUAAUUUUUCUAGGUUGACCUCGGAUCAGGUAGGGAUACCCGCUGAACUUAAGCAUAUCAAUAAGCGGAGGA
rnacentral:misc_RNA from 1 species